CAGUAUCACAGGGCUUGUGUGCAAGUAACUUCUUUUACUGAAUGGUGACUUCAAAGCACAAGAAUAGCGGUGUUGGAAAUUCAUAUACGCCGAAGGGAAGGUGUGAAGUGCUUACUUCAAGUGAAAAGGUGCAAGUAUGUACGGGUCCUUCUGUCUGGAGAGCAAAGCCGAAGUGCAUCACCUUCCAGCUCUUCGUCUAGUGGAGCAGGAGGGGUAAGGAGCGGGGAAGGUGCGCUGCACCCUGAGAGAAGAGACUGAGUGCACUGCUCCUGGAAGGCUGCGGGCCUCAGGGGCUGAGAUCCAGUGGAGGGAGGAGCAGGAGGAGGGUGGGGUGACUGAACCAACUUGUGUUCCUCUGUCCAAACCGCAUGGCUCUGGCCAAACUUCGACUGCAGAGCACGCAGCGCGGAGCUCACUCCCACAGGCUGCCAGAGCCCAGCUUCUCGCCGACUGCUGCGUGGAGACUGCAGCUCUGCAUCUGGGUCUCCCUGGGCCUCCCGACAGGACCGCUCCCCUCUCAGGGACAGAGCGAAGAGCUUCUACGCUGCCUGGCCGGGCAGAGAACCUGCUGCAUCAUCUGCAAGCUUCAACCUGCGGAAACCCGGAAAGGUCGCUUCCUAACUUCUUCCCGAGGAGCCAAGCCGUCGGGCCAGCCCUUCGCGAGGCCGGACGAGAACCGGGCCGGAAACGACUCCUGGCCCGGGGCCUGCGUUCAAAUGCUGGCUCUGGGUUUUACUCAAUCUCUCCGCGCCUCGCUUCCUCGUCCGCCGCCGCCUGCUCGCUCCUCGCCCCGAGGUACCAGGCGCCCAGGCGACUCGGGUCCCGACGCCGAGCCUUCUGCGCUGCGGCCCAUGCGCUGCCUGAGCCCGGACCGGCUCUCACGUCUGUCCAGAGACUCCUGGGCGCCUCCCUCCCACCGAGGAGAGGCCGGAAACGGGCCCUUUGCUCGACUCCUGCUCCGCCCAGAGUGUUGGGGAAGCGGCAGCGACGCCUCAACACGGAGACCUCGCCACCAACGCGGGCUCCGCCCCUAACGGACCGACGUCAGCGGAGGGACGCAGAGGACGGCGGCGCAUGCGCAGGCCAGGCGGAAGGUAACCGUCCGCUUGUAUCACAAUCGGUGGCCAAAACUCAGUCACCAUCGCCAGAGUUUGGAAAGACAGCCUUGACAGAAACAGAAAAGGUGACUUCUGGAGCCGUGUCUACUAGGGAAUUAUACCCGGCAGGACCUGUGCAAAUCAGCAAACGGAAAACAAAGAAGAUGAAGUAGAAGCCAACCCUAGAGAACCUCUGGACGCCUUUAUAAUACUGUGGUUCUGGCUUUUCAAAAAUCAUUUUGUGGCAAAAGUUUGCUUUCUGUUUUAUUCCUCUUCGGAAACCUACAGCCAAACAAUGUAUUCAUUUUUCUUCGUGGCUGUUGUUUUUUGAGACAGGGUCUAUUAGUUUGGGCUGGCCUUGAACUUGCUACCUAACUCAGGCUGCUCUCGAACUCACGGCGAUCUUCUUGCCUCAGCCUCCCGCGUGCUGGGAUUGCAGACAUGUGCCACCAUGCCCGGGUCAGAAUGCCUUUUAAUAACACAUUUGUAUUCUUCCUGUAACCAAACCAC
ensembl:lncRNA